rnacentral:rRNA from 1 species
UGCCAGACUCCUACGGGAGGCAGCAGUCGGGAAUAUUGCGCAAUGGAGGAAACUCUGACGCAGUGACGCCGCGUAUAGGAAGAAGGUUUUCGGAUUGUAAACUAUUGUCGUUAGGGAAGAUAAAAGACUGUACCUAAGGAGGAAGCCCCGGCUAACUAUGUGCCAGCAGCCGCGGUAAUACAUAGGGGGCAAGCGUUAUCCGGAUUUACUGGGUGUAAAGGGAGCGUAGACGGUCCUGCAAGCCAGAUGUGAAAGCCCGGGGCUCAACCCCGGGACUGCAUUUGGAACUGUAAGGCUAGAGUGUCGGAGAGGCAGGCGGAAUUCCUAGUGUAGCGGUGAAAUGCGUAGAUAUUAGGAGGAACACCAGUGGCGAAGGCGGCCUGCUGGACUGCAACUGACGUUGAGGCCCGAAAGCGUGGGGAGCAAACAGGAUUAGAUACCCCGGUA